UACGUAGGGUCCGAGCGUUGUCCGGAAUUACUGGGCGUAAAGAGCUCGUAGGUGGUUUGUCGCGUUGUUCGUGAAAACUCACAGCUUAACUGUGGGCGUGCGGGCGAUACGGGCAGACUGGAGUACUGCAGGGGAGACUGGAAUUCCUGGUGUAGCGGUGGAAUGCGCAGAUAUCAGGAGGAACACCGGUGGCGAAGGCGGGUCUCUGGGCAGU
rnacentral:rRNA from 1 species